rnacentral:rRNA from 1 species
AAUGAACGUUGGCGGCGUGGAUUAGGCAUGCAAGUCGAGCGAGGAAACAGAUAGCAAUAUUUGUUAUUCGAGCGGCGUAAGGGGCAGUAAUACCUGGGAACGUACCCUGAGGUCGGGGAUAGCUGCUAGAAAUGGCGAGUAAUACCCGAUGAUCUCGAGAGAGCAAAGGCUUGCCGCCUUCGGAGCGGCCCAGGCGAUAUUAGCUAGUUGGUGAGGUAAUGGCUCACCAAGGCGACGAUCAGUAGCUGGUCUGAGAGGAUGAUCAGCCACACUGGGACUGAGACACGGCCCAGACUCCUACGGGAGGCAGCAGUGGGGAAUAUUGCACAAUGGGCGAAAGCCUGAUGCAGCAACGCCGCGUGAGUGAUGAAGGCCU